GAUCAUGGCUCAGGACUAACGCUGGCGGCGUGCCUAACACAUGCAAGUCGAACGAGGGUUUGGAAAGCUUGCUUUCCGAAACCUAGUGGCGGACGGGUGAGUAACGCGCGAGUAACCUGCCUUUCAGAGGGGAAUAACGUUCUGAAAAGAACGCUAAUACCGCAUAACGUACAGUUACCGCAUGGUAGCAGUACCAAAGGAGCAAUCCGCUGAAAGAUGGACUCGCGUCCGAUUAGCUAGUUGGUGGGGUAAAGGCCU
rnacentral:rRNA from 1 species